rnacentral:tRNA from 1 species
GCCGGCGUGGCUCAGGGGUAGAGCAGCUGAUUCGUAAUCAGUUGAUCGUAGGUUCGAUUCCUAUCGCCGGCUCCA